GUUGGUAGGGUAACGGCCUACCAAGCCGAUGACGGGUAGGGGGCGUGAGAGCGUGAACCCCCACACUGGCACUGAGAUACGGGCCAGACUCCUACGGGAGGCAGCAGUGAGGAAUAUUGCCCAAUGGACGCAAGUCUGAGGCAGCAACGCCGCGUGGGCGAUGAAGGCCUUCGGGUUGUAAAGCCCUUUUCUGGGGGAAGAGGAAGGACGGUACCCCAGGAAUAAGUCACGGCUAACUACGUGCCAGCAGCCGCGGUAAUACGUAGGUGGCAAGCGUUAUCCGGAUUCACUGGGCGUAAAGCGCGUGCAGGCGGUUUCGUAAGUCGGACGUGAAAGCUCCUGGCUUAACUGGGAGAGGUCGUUCGAUACUGCGGGGCUUGAGGUCGGGAGAGGGACGUGGAAUUCCCGGUGUAGUGGUGGAAUGCGUAGAUAUCGGGAGGAACACCAGUGGCGAAGGCGACGUCCUGGCCCGCACCUGACGCUGAGACGCGAAAGCGUGGGUAGCGAACGGGAUUAGAUACCCCGGUAGUCCACGCUGUAAACGGUGGGUACUAGGUGUUGGUGGCUAUCGUCAUCAGUGCCGUAGCUAACGCGUUAA
rnacentral:rRNA from 1 species